GUCCCAGCAUGUCCAGGCAGUCACAGGUCAUCUCCCUCCGGUUCACAACAUAACAAGCGCUGCCAUGUGAUAAGGAUUACAUAUUAAACAUGCCUGACACUGAGAUUCCCUCUUUCCCAAAGCUGGAUUUCCAUAAAUCGCGGUCACUAGAGUUCAAACAGCGCAGGUGGAAAAUGGUGUAUAGCCGGUAAUGAGGAAGAUUGGCGAUUGGAUUAUCAGCGAGGAACAGCGACGUUAAGUCUUUUAGAGGCUUCAGCCGAGAAACAUCCUGCAGCUUCGGGAUAGUAAAACACACGGGUUGUAUUCAAGAUGUUCAGCGCUUUCACCUUCUUCCCGAGCCAGGCAGGUACGUGCUCAAUCUCGUUUCCAGACAGAUUCAGCUUC